GACGAACGCUGGCGGCGUGCCUAAUACGUGCAAGUUGAGCGCUGAAGGUUGGUACUUGUACCGACUGGAUGAGCAGCGAACGGGUGAGUAACGCGUGGGGAAUCUGCCUUUGAGCGGGGGACAACAUUUGGAAACGAAUGCUAAUACCGCAUAAAAACUUUAAACACAAGUUUUAAGUUUGAAAGAUGCAAUUGCAUCACUCAAAGAUGAUCCCGCGUUGUAUUAGCUAGUUGGUGAGGUAAAGGCUCACCAAGGCGAUGAUACAUAGCCGACCUGAGAGGGUGAUCGGCCACAUUGGGACUGAGACACGGCCCAAACUCCUACGGGAGGCAGCAGUAGGGAAUCUUCGGCAAUGGACGAAAGUCUGACCGAGCAACGCCGCGUGAGUGAAGAAGGUUUUCGGAUCGUAAAACUCUGUUGGUAGAGAAGAACGUUGGUGAGAGUGGAAAGCUCAUCAAGUGACGGUAACUACCCAGAAAGGGACGGCUAACUACGU
rnacentral:rRNA from 1 species